rnacentral:rRNA from 1 species
CAGGCCUAACACAUGCAAGUCGAGCAGGCAGCACAAGUAAGUUUACUUAUGAGGUAGGCGAGCGGCGGACGGGUAGAGUAAUGCCUAGGGAUCUGCCCAGUCGAUGGGGGAUAACAGUUGGAAACGACUGCUAAUACCGCAUACGCCCUACGUGGGGAAAGAGGGGGACCUUCAGGGCCUCUCGC